UACGGGAGGCAGCAGUGGGGAAUAUUGCACAAUGGGCGCAAGCCUGAUGCAGCCAUGCCGCGUGUAUGAAGAAGGCCUUCGGGUUGUAAAGUACUUUCAGUCGUGAGGAAGGUGUUAAGGUUAAUAACCUUAGCAAUUGACGUUAGCGACAGAAGAAGCACCGGCUAACUCCGUGCCAGCAGCCGCGGUAAUACGGAGGGUGCGAGCGUUAAUCGGAAUUACUGGGCGUAAAGGGCACGCAGGCGGUUAAUUAAGUUGGAUGUGAAAUCCCCGGGCUUAACCUGGGAAUGGCAUUCAAGACUGGUUAGCUAGAGUCUUGUAGAGAGGGGUAGAAUUCCAUGUGUAGCGGUGAAAUGCGUAGAGAUGUGGAGGAAUACCGGUGGCGAAGGCGGCCCCUGGACAAAGACUGACGCUCAUGUGCGAAAGCGUGGGGAGCAAACAGGAUUAGAUACC
rnacentral:rRNA from 1 species